rnacentral:snRNA from 1 species
GUGCUCGUUUCGGCAGCACAUAUACUAAAAUUGGAACGAUACAGAGAAGAUUAGCAUGGCCCCUGCGCGAGGAUGACACACAAAUUUGUGAAGCGUUCCAUAUUAAA